UGGUGAGAAAUAGAGCCCCAUGGUUCUCCCACGGCAGAGAUCCUGCCAGAAAGUAAAUCCUAAGGGUAGUCUGGAACGGUAUGCAAGUAAGGGCUGCAUCUCCAUCAGCUCUGGAGAAGUGUUUGCAGUCAUCCGUCAAGGUUCACGGUCUGAAACCUGAAUCCUGGAGGACCGCUGUAGAGGGACAGGGUGUGUGGUUAAUUUCACAGCUUGAGAAAGUGCUGAAAACAGACCAUGUAAACAUCUUUUUGUUGGAUGCGGGGAAUUCCCUGUGACUGAAGCAGUGACCUCCUAAAGUUUGCUUCUGAAGCUACAAGUUCAGUUCAGUCACUCAGUCGUGUCCAACUCUUGGAGACCCCAUGAAUCGCAGCACGCCAGGCCUCCCUGUCCAUCACCAAUCCCAGAGUUUACUCAAACUCAUGCCCAUCGAGUCGGUGAUGCCAUCCAGCCAUCUCAUCCUCUGUCGUCCCCUUCUCCCCCUGCCCCCAAUCCCUCCCAGCAUCACGGUCUUUUCCAAUGAGUCAGUUCUUUGCAUCAGGUGGCCAAAGUAUUGAAGUUUCAGCUUCAGCAUCAGUCCUUCCAAUGAACACCCAGGACUGAUCUCCUUUAGGGUGGACUGGUUGGAUCUCCUUGCAGUCCAAGGGACUCUCAGGAGACCCAGAAGCAAAUAACUGUUAAGAUGUGACUUUGGGUGCAACCAGCAGAUUUGGGGUACACUGCAGAGCAAACCAGACCAGUAUAUGGCCACUGAUUGUUGAGUGUGGAACGUAGGGCCCAGUAUGGAAGGAUUUUGGAGCCCCUGAUAACAGUUCAGUUCCCAAGAAAUGAGGAUAAUGAAAGAUAAAUGUCCAUGUAUAGGCACUGGUUUUGGUUUAAUAGUGGUGGUGGGAGAAAGACUCAUCUUCAGGAGGAGUGACUGAAGGUUGGAGUGUCAGGAGAAGUGAGUGGUGCAUGUGGUCAGAGACAAUGUGAUUUAGUGGGAGGCUCUUUGGACUUGGGAGCGCUGGGCCAGCCUGCCUGGAAAAAUCGGCCCCAGACCUGGGUAGGCAUCUGGUUCUAGUCGUCAAAGCAGAGGGAUGGCUCUGGGCUUGUCUAGCACGUUCCACUUAGGCAGAGGCAGAUUCAAGAUGCAAUUUAGAAAACCAUGGCCACGUGGUUAAAACUGGAAGCCACUGGGGAGGAAAAGUGGGUGCACAGUUCCAGUUUGGAGAGCUCUGUUUUUCUUAAGCUUUCCUGGACACUCUUGUGGGUGGUCUCUUUAGCUGCGUGUGAAUCUCAGGAGCAUCACUGACUUGGAGUCUGUGUGCUGAACAACUUCUGGGUGCAGGAUUCAUCCAGCAGAAAACUUUGAUGGCGAUGACAUCAUCACGCUUCAGAUAUGCAAUCCCAGCCUCUUUUUAAAAGCUAUUAAAAAUCCUACCAGGUGGACGAAGUUAACUGUACGCUGCCCAGCAGGUAGACCCCAAACCAGUUGGAACCAGAAGGUUGAUGACGCUGACUCCUGAUUACCUCACCACCAACCAAUCAGAAGACUGUCUAUGAGUUGAUCACACCCUCCUCUUUGAACCAUUGCUAUGAAACUCCUCACUCCCUGCUCCAGGUGGCGACACAGUCUAGAGGGCAUUAGCUCUCUGAGGUCCUCUU